GAUGAACGCUGGCGGCGUGCCUAAUACAUGCAUGUCGAGCGAACGGACGAGAAGCUUGCUUCUCUGAUGUUAGCGGCGGACGGGUGAGUAACACGUGGAUAACCUACCUAUAAGACUGGGAUAACUUCGGGAAACCGUAGCUAAUACCGGAUAAUAUUUUGAACCGCAUGGUUCAAAAGUGAAAGACGGUCUUGCUGUCACUUAUAGAUGGAUCCGCGCUGCAUUAGCUAGUUGGUAAGGUAACGGCUUACCAAGGCAACGAUGCCUAGCCGACCUGAGAGGGUGAUCGGCCACACUGGAACUGAGACACGGUCCAGACUCCUACGGGAGGCAGCAGUAGGGAAUCUUCCGCAAUGGGCGAAAGCCUGACGGAGCAACGCCGCGUGAGUGAUGAAGGUCUUCGGAUCGUAAAACUCUGUUAUUAGGGAAGAACAUAUGUGUAAGUAACUGCGCACAUCUUGACGGUACCUAAUCAGAAAGCCACGGCUAACUACGUG
rnacentral:rRNA from 1 species